rnacentral:rRNA from 1 species
AGAUUGAACGCUGGCGGCAGGCCUAACACAUGCAAGACGAGCGGCAGCACGGGUACUUGUACCUGGUGGCGAGCGGCGGACGGGUGAGUAAUGCCUAGGAAUCUGCCUGAUAGUGGGGGAUAACGUUCGGAAACGGACGCUAAUACCGCAUACGUCCUACGGGAGAAAGCGGGGGACCUUCGGGCCUCGCGCCAUUAGAUGAGCCUAGGUCGGAUUAGCUAGUGGUGAGUAAUGGCUCACCAAGGCGACGAUCCGUAACUGGUCUGAGAGGAUGAUCAGUCACACUGGAACUGAGACACGGUCCAGACU